rnacentral:rRNA from 1 species
GAAAUGCGAUAAGUAAUGUGAAUUGCAGAAUUCAGUGAAUCAUCGAAUCUUUGAACGCACCUUGCGCUCCUUGGCAUUCCAAGGAGCAUGCCUGUUUGAGUGUCAUUGAAAUCUCAAGGCCUGUCUGAAUUUGAUAGGUAUUGGAUUUUGGGGGUUGCAGGCUUUUUUAAAAAAAAUAGCCUGCUCUCCUUGAAUGUAUUAGUGGAGAAAAGGCCAUUUGAACUCCAUUGGUGUGAUAUAAGCUAUCAAUGCCAGGAGUAUGUUGGUCCUAUCUGCUGUCUAACUGUUUGGAAAGACCAGACAACUUGACCCAACUUGACCUCAAAUCAGGUAGGACUACCCGCUGAACUUAA